CUACGGGUGGCAGCAGUGAGGAAUUUUGCGCAAUGGGGGAAACCCUGACGCAGCAACGCCGCGUGAGCGAAGAAGGCCUUCGGGUCGUAAAGCUCUGUCAAGUGGGAAAAAAAUUCUUUGAUGAAUAGUCAAAGGACUUGAUGGUACCACUGGAGGAAGCACCGGCUAACUCCGUGCCAGCAGCCGCGGUAAUACGGAGGGUGCAAGCGUUGUUCGGAAUUACUGGGCGUAAAGAGCGUGUAGGCGGUUUGGCAAGUCAGAUGUGAAAGCCCCGGGCUCAACCCGGGAAGUGCAUUUGAAACUGCUUCACUAGAGUAUGGGAGAGGAGAUUGGAAUUCCUGGUGUAGAGGUGAAAUUCGUAGAUAUCAGGAGGAACACCCGUGGCGAAGGCGAUUCUCUGGACCAAUACUGACGCUGAGACGCGAAAGCGUGGGGAGCAAACAGGAUUAGAUACCCCGGUAGUC
rnacentral:rRNA from 1 species